rnacentral:rRNA from 1 species
UACAGAGGGUGCAAGCGUUAAUCGGAAUUACUGGGCGUAAAGCGUGCGUAGUCGGUUAUCUAAGUCGGGUGUGAAAUCCCCGGGCUCAACCUGGGAAUUGCAUUCGAUACUGGAUAGCUAGAGUUCGGCAGAGGGAAGCGGAAUUUCGGGUGUAGCGGUGAAAUGCGUAGAUAUCCGAAGGAACAUCAGUGGCGAAAGCGGCUUCCUGGACCAGAACUGACGAUCAGGCACGAAAACGUGGGGAGCAAACAGG